GGAAGGUUAAAUGAAUUCCUCACGAAACCAUGCAUGAAACUCAUGGUUUGUUGUUUCUGGUCUUUCCUGGGGAAUUGUUCACAAGUGGCUGGGCAGAAACAAAGCGAUUAAGGGGUGCCAUGGAGUCAGUGGUUUCUUGAUGAUCUGACCGCUGAUCUGUACCAGUGAACUUUAAAGUUGGGGAAAACCAGAGAAGCUACAAAAACAGCAUGGGCAAAAUGGACAGUGUCACUGACCUUUACAGGCACAAACACUGUAUGAAGUGGUUCUGGGUGAUAGACGUUGUCAAGAAACACAAUUGGUCUUGCUCCAUGUGCAUUCAUCAACUCUUCGAGCUUGACAAGACAGAGCUCCGCUCCAGGCUUGUGGUGUCAUCUGAGCAAGUCUGGAGUCAGGACAGCCAGGCCAGGAAGGGAGGACUUUUUC